AGAUUGCGCAACUAUAACACAUAAGUGACUCGUAGCAACUGUAUGUGUUUGAAGGAGAACGCAUUCUCGCGUAGAUGCUUCUUUUUACGGAAUCCUCCUCGGACGCGUAACACGGGCCAUAAUGCCAUGUUAUGGAACUUUGCCAUUGUAUUGUUUCCGUGGAUCUAUUUGCGAUACACGAGUGUUUCUUUCAGCACAUUCACCUAUGACCCCAGUCGUCGAGUUUAGUAAACCUAAACGACCACCUGUACAUACAAGAUUUCCAUUUUGCUUAUCUCCUAACUUAAACUCACCAAAAAAGGCACCUCGAGUACAUGCGAGGUGUGCAAGGUGUUCGUGCGCCGUGGAAUGUAGGAAAGAAUGGCCAUGGAAGGAAUGGCAGACCCACUGGCCAUAAUAUUGAGCUACGCACACGCAACUGCUUGCCAUUCCAUAUACACUUAGCGCCUUCGUCGAUGUUUUAAUGACGACACUGUCAUGGAAACGUAUUCUGCAGGCAGAAUCAUGGAGUCCUUCUGCCCUUUCUUCGUGGUGGACCGCGGAGGCAUUCCUUACAGCCCCCCGUAACAUGUUAUCACGUCAACUUAUGUAAUGUUAAAAAUUUGACUAUGUUUGAUAGUAAAAGAUUCUUAACUUCGAAUAUGUUGAACUCAUUGAAAUAAGCUGAAACCAAUUUACUUUUAACACAUGAAUAACUUCUCUAUUUUGCAAAAAAAAAAGAUGAAAGCUUUAAUAUUCUUUGCACGGUUUAAAUUGUCACACUUUGUUACUACUACAUUGUUACACUGUGUAGUAUUAUACUUAAUACUGCUUAAACACUGUUCGAUGCGUUUCCUGACCCCUUGAAGUUAACUAUGUAUGUAUAUAGAAUGUUGGUGAGACGACGGGAAUCUUUUCACCCGGCUCUCACCCGGAAACCUCAACAGCGUUAAACGUGGCAGUAUUAAAUAUUGGAUUGCCAGAUAAGUCUUAAACCUUUCAGAGGUCACAUUUUUGCUCAGAAAGAAGAAAAAUUCUGUAUGAAUGGCAUAAUGGAACUAUUCAAUAGGUGGCAGAAUAUUAUUGAACAAAGUGGUGCAUAUUUGAUUUAAUUAUAUUAUUACAAAGUGUUCAAAUAAAGUAUAAUUCAUACUAGAAAAGCUUCAAGACUUAUCUGAUUAUCCAAUAUAAUAUUGCACAGUGUAACAAUGUUAAGUGUAAAAAAGAUGAAGGUUAUAUUGAGGAUUGGAUACAUUACUUCAGGUAAAACUCGGCAAAGUUUCUGCUAUCCAGAACGAAUCUUGACCUCUCCUUGUGCGUUUCGUCUCAUUUAAAUCACGGGACUGAAUGAAAUCUCGUUUUCCCGUUACAUGGAAUCUGAUUCAUGCGCGAAUCACGCCGAUCGGCGUGGAAAGAGAAUGCAUUCUUCUCUAGCCGCUUCUAUCCACCGUAUCUUCGGCCAUUCUGGAUGCUGGAUACUUUGUAGAUACGUCCAAAUAACGUUCCAAAUAGAGAGAAUCAACGAGCAAACAUUGGUGUCACGAAACAAAGGAACCCUCUUAUCCGGCUACGAGGAACGCGAAUGCAAAGAAUUCAUUAUUCAAUCGCGCCUCCGGUACUCGUGUUGUGCCCAUUAUUGAUUACACGGGCUUUUGUAAGAAAAUUCUUACGAGAUCCCGAUGAGUGAUCGUUGGAUAUGCGAAGUUAUAUAGCGUCACGCGUAUCGGACUUUUUGCGGUGAGGUGGUGACAGUCUGAGCUGGAAUUAAUAACAAAAAAAUGCAUCUAUAAGAUUAGUUUACUAGGCUUAUAAAAUUGGAGGAAUUUUAUAGCGUUGAUCCUUGAUGACCUUGAUUCAUUAAUUUAAUUCAUAAAUGGUGAAACCAUUAGCAAGAAAUUGCUAGACUAUGGAACAUUAAAACAUUUUAUAUUAAUAAGUGAUUAUUGAAUUGAAAAACAUAAAAAUAUUUUAUAUAGAUUAAUUUUUAAGCUAGAAUAAUAUGAAAUUAGUUUAUGCUAUAUAGAUUUAGUAGUUAAUGAGUAGUUAAUAGAUUUAAUAGUAUGAAAGAAAGAGAAAAUAUUGAAGAAUACAGUGUGGCUUAUAAUGCACCAACAGUAGAGAGAACUAAAAAGGGUGGUUAAAAGAACAUAAAGAGUGUAGAAAGUCACUAAAAUAACAGUAGAAUCCUGCAAGAUCGCAAAUAAAAAGAAGCCCAACUGUACAUGAUAAGGUAAUGAAAAAUAUAAUAUCAAUAUCUAAUAACAAAAUGUUACAAUUAUAACCUUAAAAGAAAGAAGCUAACCUAUUUCUGUGCCAAGAACAGAAACCAAGACAGACCAAAAGAGCAAAAAAGAGAAAUGACGGUAGUGUUCGUUGCGCGAAGAUGCAUCGAAAAUUUCACCUGACCAGCAAUGGCCAAUUUCACGGAUAGCAAGAGCGUACCAGAGACUGAAUCGCGCGAGUUAAUCAUACGCGACGCAAGUAGGCCGACCUGGGCAAAAACAAACGAUAUGCGCACGCGGCCGCGCCGCGUGCGAUACAUAUAAUUGGCCAACGUAUUGCUAGCGGCUCGUGAAGUAUUCCAGCAAAUCCGACAUACAUUCCAGCGCGGAUCCCGGCUACUUACGUUCCGCCUCGCUGUGGAAUGCAGUCACCUUGUGGCAGGUGUACGGUGUACCGAACGUCCUCAAACAUUUCAACCUCCUACUUUCCCCGAUUUGAAUUCAAAUGCGUCUUCGUUGCGGCAAGUGGGAGCAACGGGAUCUGGCUGAACCAGUCGUUUCGGGAUUGGUCUUCCUUCGUUGUACCAUCGAAGCACUGAAACAUUGAUUAUUGUUUGAUAUCUGAUUUUUAGAGGUUUUUGAUAUUAAAAGAAAUAAGAUUGAUUGGAUAUUCAUCCUUAA